UUUAUCUAUUUAGGGUUACUGCAGUAUUUUAUGUACUGAAAGAGUCGUAGCAUAGCCUUGAAGCUUGUUUAUGCAUUAUUGUUAUUGUAUUUCGUCUGGGACAAAAUGGCGUAAACAUAUUAUGCACUGAAAGUAGGUAAAAGGUUAUUGCUUAAAAAUUUUGAUAGGCAAAUUAUUAGUAAGAAUGGUGUCAACAAUAUGCGCUGUGGGCAAAAUAGAUGUUUGACCUGUGGGUACAUCUGCC